rnacentral:rRNA from 1 species
AACGAACGCUGGCGGCAGGCUUAACACAUGCAAGUCGAACGGGUGUAGCAAUACAUCAGUGGCAGACGGGUGAGUAACACGUGGGAACCUUCCUAGGGGUACGGAACAACUCAGGGAAACUUGAGCUAAUACCGUAUACGUCCGUGAGGAGAAAGAUUUAUCGCCCUUAGACGGGCCCGCGUCGGAUUAGGUAGUUGGUGGGGUAACGGCCUACCAAGCCUACGAUCCGUAGCCGAUCUGAGAGGAUGAUCAGCCACACUGGGACUGAGACACGGCCCAGACUCCUACGGGAGGCAGCAGUGGGGAAUCUUGGACAAUGGGCGCAAGCCUGAUCCAGCCAUGCCGCGUGAGUGAAGAAGGCCUUAGGGUUGUAAAGCUCUUUUACCAGGGACGAUAAUGACAGUACCUGGAGAAUAAGCCCCCGCAAACUUCGUGCCAGCCGCCGCGGUAA